rnacentral:rRNA from 1 species
GACGAACGCUGGCGGCGUGCUUAACACAUGCAAGUCGAACGGAAAGGCCCUGCUUGCAGGGUACUCGAGUGGCGAACGGGUGAGUAACACGUGGGUGAUCUGCCCUGCACUUCGGGAUAAGCCUGGGAAACUGGGUCUAAUACCGGAUAGGAGCCAUUUUUAGUGUGAUGGUUGGAAAGUUUUUUCGGUGUAGGAUGAGCUCGCGGCCUAUCAGCUUGUUGGUGGGGUAAUGGCCUACCAAGGCGGCGACGGGUAGCCGGCCUGAGAGGGUGGACGGCCACAUUGGGGCUGGGAUACGGCCCAGACUCCUACGGGAGGCAGCAGUGGGGAAUAUUGCACCAUGGGCGCAAGCCUGAUGCAGCGACGCCGCGUGGGGGAUGACGGCCUUCGGGUUGUAAACUCCUUUCGCUAGGGACGAAGCUUUUUGUGACGGUACCUAGAUAAGAAGCACCGGCUAACUACGUG